GGCGAUCGCUAGACCCUAGCAUCGAGAAUAUAUAUAUAUAAAAGAACGUCGGUGAAAAUAACACUCACCAGUUUCGACGGAAGUACGACUAUUCGAUCGUCGCCUGCUCGCAGGUUACGGUUAGUAAUCGAGUUCGUAUCCGAAGUCGUCGGUGACGUAUCGACGUUCGGGCGUCCGCGGUGUCCGAGUCGGUCACCCGUCCGACCCGUCUUGAAACACGGACCAAGGAGUCUAACGUAAGCGCGAGCUAAUGGGCGGAAAACCCAUAAGCGAAAUAAAAGUAAAAGCCGUUUCGGACGGCCGAGGUACGAUACCGACGAAAAUAUAUUUUCGGUCGCAGUACCGUCCCGUCCCGACCGCUCGUCGGUAGGGCGGAGACAGAGUGCAUACGUUGGGACCCGAAAGAUGGUGAACUAUGCCUGAGCAGAGCGAAGCCAGAGGAAACUCUGGUGGAGGUUCGUAGCGGUUCUGACGUGCAAAUCGAUCGUCAGAC
rnacentral:rRNA from 1 species